GGAUAGAUGGCUGAGUGGUCGAAAGCACCGGUCUUGAAAACCGGCAGAUGUUUUUCAUCUCGUGGGUUCGAAUCCCACUCUAUCUG
rnacentral:tRNA from 1 species